rnacentral:rRNA from 1 species
CCCGGCGGCCUUAGCGCGGUGGUCCCACCUGACCCCAUGCCGAACUCAGAAGUGAAACGCCGUAGCGCCGAUGGUAGUGUGGGGUCUCCCCAUGCGAGAGUAGGGAACUGCCGGCA